rnacentral:piRNA from 1 species
UCACUUCCUAGACAGGAUGGCGGCCGGGC